rnacentral:ribozyme from 14 species
AAGAAUAACAACAACACAACAACAAGAUAACUGCAUGGCAACGGUCACUAACGUAUUUUCUGGUCCUUCUUCUUCUACUUGUCAUUGCACGUGCGUGUUUCGUAUUAUUAUAUGUAAACAAAGAGAAAAGGAAAAGCAGGAGAAGCACAACAAGGAUACCAACGAAAAGAUUUUUUAAAACUUUAUACAUUCCAGAUUUUUUUUAC